GACAGAGGCCCCAAGCGUUAGGCGGAAUCAUUGGGCGUAAAGCGCGUGUAGGCGGUUUCGUAAGUCUGCUGUGAAAGUCGGGGGCUCAACCCUCGGAUGCCGGUGGAUACUGUCGGGCUUGAGUACGGAAGAGGCGAGUGGAAUUCCUGGUGUAGCGGUGAAAUGCGCAGAUAUCAGGAGGAACACCAGCGGCGAAGGCGGCGCUCUGGGCCGGUACUGACGCUGAGGAGCGAAAGCGUGGGUAGCAAACAGG
rnacentral:rRNA from 1 species